UACGGGGGGGGCAAGCGUUGUUCGGAAUUACUGGGCGUAAAGGGCUCGUAGGUGGCCAAGUAAGUCAGACGUGAAAUCCCCAGGCUCAACUUGGGAACUGCGUCUGAUACUGGAUGGCUGGAAUUCGGGAGAGGGAUGCAGAAUUCCAGGUGUAGCGGUGAAAUGCGUAGAUAUCUGGAGGAAUACCGGUGGCGAAGGCGGCAUCCUGGACCGAGAUUGACACUGAUGAGCGAAAGCUAGGGGAGCAAACGGG
rnacentral:rRNA from 1 species